UACAGAGGGGGCAAGCGUUGUUCGGAAUUACUGGGCGUAAAGGGCGCGUAGGCGGCCGCCUAAGUCGGACGUGAAAUCCCCAGGCUCAACCUGGGAACUGCGUCCGAUACUGGAUGGCUUGAAUUCGGGAGAGGGAUGCAGAAUUCCAGGUGUAGCGGUGAAAUGCGUAGAUAUCUGGAGGAAUACCGGUGGCGAAGGCGGCAUCCUGGACCGACAUUGACGCUGAGGAGCGAAAGCUAGGGGAGCAAACGGG
rnacentral:rRNA from 1 species